GACGAACGCUGGCGGCGUGCUUAACACAUGCAAGUCGAACGGAAAGGCCCUGCUUUUGUGGGGUGCUCGAGUGGCGAACGGGUGAGUAACACGUGAGUAACCUGCCCUUGACUUUGGGAUAACUUCAGGAAACUGGGGCUAAUACCGGAUAGGAGCUCCUGCUGCAUGGUGGGGGUUGGAAAGUUUCGGCGGUUGGGGAUGGGCUCGCGGCUUAUCAGCUUGUUGGUGGGGUAGUGGCUUACCAAGGCUUUGACGGGUAGCCGGCCUGAGAGGGUGACCGGCCACAUUGGGACUGAGAUACGGCCCAGACUCGUACGGGAGGCAGCAGUGGGGAAUAUUGCACAAUGGGCGGAAGCCUGAUGCAGCAACGCCGCGUGCGGGAUGACGGCCUUCGGGUUGUAAACCGCUUUCGCCUGUGACGAAGCGUGAGUGACGGUAAUGGGUAAAGAAGCACCGGCUAACUACGUG
rnacentral:rRNA from 1 species